rnacentral:rRNA from 1 species
CCUACGGGUGGCAGCAGUGGGGAAUAUUGCGCAAUGGGGGAAACCCUGACGCAGCAACGCCGCGUGAGUGAAGACGUAUCUCGGUAUGUAAAGCUCUAUCAGCGGGGAAGAAGGAAGACGGUACCCGACUUAUAAGCACCGGCUAACUACGUGCCAGCAGCCGCGGUAAUACGUAGGGGGCGAGCGUUAACCGGAUUUACUGGGUGAAAAGGGAGCGUAGACGGCGUCGCAAGUCUGAAGUGAAAGCCCGUGGCUCAACCGCGGAACCGCUUUGGAAACUGGGUGGCUGGAGUGCUGGAGAGGUAAGCGGAAUUCGUGGUGUAGCGGUGAAAUGCGUAGAUAUCAGGAGGAACACCGGUGGCGAAGGCGGCUUACUGGACAAUGACUGACGUUGAGGCUCGAAAGCGUGGGGAGCGAACAGGAUUAGAUACCCUUGUAGUC